rnacentral:rRNA from 1 species
GUGGGGAAUCUUGCGCAAUGGGCGAAAGCCUGACGCAGCCAUGCCGCGUGAAUGAUGAAGGUCUUAGGAUUGUAAAAUUCUUUCACCGGGGACGAUAAUGACGGUACCCGGAGAAGAAGCUCCGGCUAACUUCGUGCCAGCAGCCGCGGUAAUACGAAGGGGGCUAGCGUUGCUCGGAAUUACUGGGCGUAAAGGGCGCGUAGGCGGACAGCUUAGUCAGAGGUGAAAGCCCAGGGCUCAACCUUGGAAUUGCCUUUGAUACUGGCUGUCUUGAGUUUGGGAGAGGUGGGUGGAACUCCGAGUGUAGAGGUGAAAUUCGUAGAUAUUCGGAAGAACACCAGUGGCGAAGGCGACUCACUGGCCCAAUACUGACGCUGAGGCGCGAAAGCGUGGGGAGCAAACAGGAUUAGAAACCCUGGUAGUCC